GACGAACGCUGGCGGCGUGCCUAAUACAUGCCAGUUGAGCGAUGAAGAUUGGUGCUUGCACCAAUUUGAAGAGCAGCGAACGGGUGAGUAACGCGUGGGGAAUCUGCCUUUGAGCGGGGGACAACAUUUGGAAACGAAUGCUAAUACCGCAUAACAACUUUAAACAUAAGUUUUAAGUUUGAAAGAUGCAAUUGCAUCACUCAAAGAUGAUCCCGCGUUGUAUUAGCUAGUUGGUGAGGUAAAGGCUCACCAAGGCGAUGAUACAUAGCCGACCUGAGAGGGUGAUCGGCCACAUUGGGACUGAGACACGGCCCAAACUCCUACGGGAGGCAGCAGUAGGGAAUCUUCGGCAAUGGACGAAAGUCUGGCCGAGCAACGCCGCGUGAGUGAAGAUGGUUUUCGGAUCGUAAAACUCUGUUGGUAGAGAAGAACGUUGGUGAGAGUGGAAAGCUCAUCAAGUGACGGUAACUACCCAGAAAGGGACGGCUAACUACGUG
rnacentral:rRNA from 1 species